rnacentral:rRNA from 1 species
UACGGGGGGGGCAAGCGUUGUUCGGAAUUACUGGGCGUAAAGGGCUCGUAGGCGGCCAACUAAGUCAGACGUGAAAUCCCUCGGCUUAACCGGGGAACUGCGUCUGAUACUGGAUGGCUUGAGAUUGGGAGAGGGAUGCGGAAUUCCAGGUGUAGCGGUGAAAUGCGUAGAUAUCUGCAGGAACACCCGUGGCGAAAGCGGCGCGCUGGACCACUACUGACGCUGAGGAACGAAAGCUAGGGGAGCAAACAGG